AGAGUUUGAUCAUGGCUCAGAACGAACGUUGGCGGCGUGGAUUAGGCAUGCAAGUCGGACGAAGCGCGGGGGGCAACCCCCGCGACUGAGUGGCGAAAGGGGCAGUAAGGCGUGGCUAACCUACCCCGGGGACGGGGAUAGCCUCCCUAACGGGAGGGUAAGACCCGGCGAGUUGAGUGGAGGGCAUCCUUUACUCAGGAAAGGAUUUAUCGCCUCGGGAGGGGGUCACGUGGUAUUAGCUAGACGGCGGGGUAACGGCCCACCGUGGCGAAGAUGCCUAGCGGGUGUGAGAGCACGACCCGCGCCACUGGCACUGAGACACUGGCCAGACUCCUACGGGAGGCUGCAGUCGAGGAUCUUCGGCAAUGGGCGCAAGCCUGACCGAGCGACGCCGCGUGUGCGAUGAAGGCCUUCGGGUUGUAAAGCACUGUCGAGGGGGAGGAAAGCCCGCAAGGGCCUGACCUAUCCCUGGAGGAAGCACGGGCUAAGUUCGUGCCAGCCGCCGCGGUAAUUC
rnacentral:rRNA from 1 species